GGGGAUAAUCUGGAGAAAUCCGGUCUAAUACCUCAUAACAUCCCGGGAGGCAUCUUUCGGGGUUAAAAGAUUCAUCGGUUCGGGAUGGGCAUGCGUUGUAUUAGCUUGUUGGUGAGGUAACGGCUCACCAAGGCUACGAUACAUAGGGGGACUGAGAGGUUAACCCCCCACACUGGUACUGAGACACGGACCAGACUCCUACGGGAGGCAGCAGUGAGGAAUAUUGGUCAAUGGCCGCAAGCCUGAACCAGCCAAGCCGCGUGCAGGAAGACAGCCCUAUGCGUUGUAAACUGCUUUUAUACGAGAAUAAAAAGAGCUACGUGUACACAGCUGAAAGUACCGUAAGAAUAAGCAUCGGCUAACUCCGUGCCAGCAGCCGCGGUAAUACGGAGGAUCCGAGCGUUAUCCGGAUUUAUUGGGUUUAAAGGGUGCGUAGGCGGUUCGGUAAGUUAGAGGUGAAAGCCCGUUGCUCAACAACGGAACUGCCUCUGAUACUGUCGGGCUAGAGAGUGGUUGCCGUAGGCGGAAUGUGUGGUGUAGCGGUGAAAUGCUUAGAGAUCACACAGAACACCGAUUGCGAAGGCAGCUUACGAAGCCACAUCUGACGCUGAUGCACGAAAGCGUGGGGAGCAAACAGGAUUAGAUACCCUGGUAGUCCACGCCGUAAACGAUGAUAGCUCGUUGCCGGUGAUAUACGAUCGGUGACUUAGCGAAAGCGUUAAGCUAUCCACCUGGGGAGUACGUUCGCAAGAAUGAAACUCAAAGGAAUUGACGGGGGCCCGCACAAGCGGAGGAACAUGUGGUUUAAUUCGAUGAUACGCGAGGAACCUUACCCGGGCUUGAAAGUGAGUGACGAAUCUGGAAACAGAACUUCCCUUCGGGGCACGAAACUAGGUGCUGCAUGGUUGUCGUCAGCUCGUGCCGUGAGGUGUCGGGUUAAGUCCCAUAACGAGCGCAACCCCUACUGAUAGUUGCCAUCGGGUGAUGCCGGGAACUCUAUCAGGACUGCCGGUGUAAACCGUGAGGAAGGUGGGGAUGACGUCAAAUCAGCAC
rnacentral:rRNA from 1 species